rnacentral:rRNA from 1 species
GACGAACGCUGGCGGCGUGCCUAAUACAUGCAAGUUGAGCGCUGAAGGUUGGUACUUGUACCAACUGGAUGAGCAGCGAACGGGUGAGUAACGCGUGGGGAAUCUGCCUUUGAGCGGGGGACAACAUUUGGAAACGAAUGCUAAUACCGCAUAAAAACUUUAAACACAAGUUUUAAGUUUGAAAGAUGCAAUUGCAUCACUCAAAGAUGAUCCCGCGUUGUAUUAGCUAGUUGGUGAGGUAAAGGCUCACCAAGGCGAGGAUACAUAGCCGACCUGGGAGGGUGAUCGGCCACAGUGGGACUGAGACACGGCCCAAACUCCUACGGGAGGCAGCAGUAGGGAAUCUUCGGCAAUGGACGAAAGUCUGACCGAGAAACGCCGCGUGAGUGAAGAAGGUUUUCGGAUCGUAAAACUCGGUUGGUAGAGAAGAACGUUGGUGAGAGUGGAAAGCUCAUCAAGUGACGGUAACUACCCAGAAAGGGACGGCUAACUACGUG